ensembl:lncRNA
AGAGGCUGUCCUGAGCUCUGUAGGGUGUGGGAUCUGAGCUGUCAGUUUCCCUGGAUGGAAAAUAGCUUUGAUGGAGAAGCUCUUGCUCACAGUACUGCACUACUGCUUUCCUUCUUACUCUUGAUUCUGAGAAUAAAAGCAACUUCUCUGUUCCUCAUGAUGUCAGGUUUUAUGAACCCUUAUUGCUGGAGAAUUUGAAGAGGCACCUGAAGGAGUAACAUGUUUAAUGAGGAGAUCUGAGAGGGGAUCUUAUCAAAUGUUGUACAUAUCUUGAUACCAGCUUUUUACAUGAUAAGGCCAGGUUCUUCUUCUUUAUUUUAGCGUGGAUAAACCCUUAGUAAAUAACAUAAGUAAUAGCAAUAAAAUGGCUUGGCAUAUUGAGUUAACAUUAGAUUUUUUUUUUAAUCAAUUUUAACUUCACUGAUGUAUAUCCUAGAGAAUAAUGUUGUUUCCUUAAAAAGAAAAACAACUCCAAAACAACAACAACAACAACAACAAAAAAAAACACAGACAAAACAAACUCCUCCAACAUUUAGGCCUGUUCUAUUCGAUUAGAUACUCUAAUGCGGCUAGAAAUGCAGUAAGAAAAAUUGCUGCUGAAUUGGAGUCUGGAAGUUAGGAUUUGUAUUUUCAAACACAGACUGCAUACAAAACAGGGUAUAGAAGAAAGUAAGCCCUACUCAUAAUGCAUGCCCAAUUAAAAAUGUCAAAACAUACACAGUCUUUUAAGAGGCUUUUAUAAAACUUUCUUCUGGUAUGUAUAAUUAUUAACAAACGGUACGUAAAGCUGAAGUCUCUGAGAAAUGUUCUUCCUAGUACGACUCCAGGAAAAUUCUUAAUGUGAUGAUGCUACUUAAGGGAACUGUUGAUUCCAGUGAUAAGUGACUGUUUCAAACUCAACUCAUUGUGCAUUUGAUAUGCAGAAAAACAUCUAUUUUUUGAUAAAAGAUUGGCAUCUAAAAAAGCGAUGUACAGCAUAGUUAUUUUUUCUUUAAGGACAUUUCUCUGUGUAUAUGUUCUGAAAUUGUGUAGAGCUACACUGUAGAGCUGAGGGGUUUUUCAGGGGAAAGAAGCAUGUUUGCUCUUCAGAAUUGCUCUUUCUGCAAUAUUAAAUUAAGCUUGAUUUCAGAGUGCAUUACAUUAAGGGAUGUGUUUAUUUCAUCUUCAUUACAGUAUAAAACCAAUACAGGUCAAUCCAGUUGGUUGUGCGUGCUGUAGGGGUUUGAUUCAGUUUCCAAGCUGGCUUAACAUUGUUCUCUUCAUUUGUCUUAUUCUCACUGCCGUUUCUUGGUCUGGUGGAUAAAUAUCCAUCUGUAUUCUUGUGUAACUCUUGCAUAAUUCUUUAACCUGUAACUUUUCAUAAUUGCAGCUUCAGUAGCCUUCUGAGGAAGGUUAACAAGUUAAUGGCGUCACAUAUUUAAAAGGACAUGCUUGAAAACUGAUUGGCAGAUGUAAAUAAUUGCACACCAGAAUCCAUGCUGGCUGACAGUUUGGGUUAUGUUAAAUACUUAAGUAAACCCUUAUUAUUUAGUGGUGAAUGGCAUUACUCUUGGUUGUUAUCAUUCUGUAUAUUUCUGAAGUAGUGUAUGGUGUUUUAUCAGCAUAGAUGAACUGUUAGUUAGUGUUUGCCUCCUGUGAUUGUAAGCCUCAGUUUACUAGUAGUGGAAUAUGUAACGUUUAAAAGCUAAACUAGCUUCAUAUUUCACAAGUGACGAUAUUCUAAAAAUAAAUGCAGUAUUGAUAUU